rnacentral:rRNA from 1 species
ACUCCUACGGGAGGCAGCAGUGGGGAAUAUUGCACAAUGGGCGCAAGCCUGAUGCAGCAACGCCGCGUGAGGGAUGAAGGCCUUCGGGUUGUAAACCUCUUUUAGCAGGGAAGAAGCGAAAGUGACGGUACCUGCAGAAAAAGCACCGGCUAACUACGUGCCAGCAGCCGCGGUAAUACGUAGGGUGCAAGCGUUGUCCGGAAUUAUUGGGCGUAAAGGGUGCGUAGGUUGUUAUUUAAGUCAUGUGGGAAAUACCUGGGCUCAACCUGGGAAUGACGGAUGAUACUGAAUGACUGAGAGUAUAGGUAGAGGGUAGUGGAAUUUCCGGUGUAGCGGUGAAAUGCGUAGGAGAUCGAAGGAACACCAGUGGCGAAGGCGGCUACCUGGACUAAUACUGACACUGAGGCAC